rnacentral:rRNA from 1 species
UGACGGAGGACUGACGCGAUACGACCCGUCUUGAAACACGGACCAAGGAGUUUAUCGGGCCUGCGAGUCAAAGGGUAUUGAAACCCUACGGCGUAGUGAAAGCGAGACGUUUAUUUUGUGUAAGCGACAAAACGGACAGUUCCGCAGCGGCUAGAUGAUCUUUGAUUGCUAGACCGACUAAGAGCAGGCACGCUAAUACCCGAAAGAUGGUGAACUAUGCCGGGGCAGGGCGAAGCCAGAGGAAACUCUGGUGGAAGCUCGAAGCGAUGUUGACGUGCAAAUCGCUCGUCGGACCUUGGUAUAGGGGCGUAAGACUCAUCGAACCAUCUAGUAGCUGGUUCCCCCCGAAGUUUCUCUCAGGAUAGCGGGCCUAGGUAAAAAAAAGUCAUAUUUUUAAUGAUAUGAAAAAGAGUUGUUGCUAUGUGAGGUAAAGCUAAUGACUAGCGUAUUUAUGGGGCGAUUGAGUCUCCUGACGAUUCUCAAACUAUGAAUAUGCAUGUGGCAGUGCUACCGGUGCGACACGACCGGAGCAUAUGCUAGGAAGAACCUAGGCUCUGUGGGCCCGUUUUGGUAAGCAGAACUGGCGAUACGGGUUGAACCGUAAGUGUGGUUAAGGCGCCAAAUUAUUCGCUAAGAGAACCCAAGAAAGGUGUUGAUUCAUUUAGACAGCAGGACGGUGGCCAUGGAAGUUGGAAUCCGUUAAGGAGUG